rnacentral:piRNA from 1 species
UGACCUAGAACCGGACAGACGGAUCCCGA